rnacentral:rRNA from 1 species
ACUAAGCGUACACGGUGGAUGCCCUGGCAGUCAGAGGCGAUGAAGGACGUGCUAAUCUGCGAUAAGCGUCGGUAAGGUGAUAUGAACCGUUAUAACCGGCGAUUUCCGAAUGGGGAAACCCAGUGUGAUUCGUCACACUAUCAUUAACUGAAUCCAUAGGUUAAUGAGGCGAACCGGGGGAACUGAAACAUCUAAGUACCCCGAGGAAAAGAAAUCAACCGAGAUUCCCCCAGUAGCGGCGAGCGAACGGGGAGCAGCCCAGAGCCUGAAUCAGUGUGUGUGUUAGUGGAAGCGUCUGGAAAGGCGCGCGAUACAGGGUGACAGCCCCGUACACAAAAAUGCACAUGCUGUGAGCUCGAUGAGUAGGGCGGGACACGUGGUAUCCUGUCUGAAUAUGGGGGGACCAUCCUCCAAGGCUAAAUACUCCUGACUGACCGAUAGUGAACCAGUACCGUGAGGGAAAGGCGAAAAGAACCCCGGCGAGGGGAGUGAAAAAGAACCUGAAACCGUGUACGUACAAGCAGUGGGAGCACGCUUAGGCGUGUGACUGCGUACCUUUUGUAUAAUGGGUCAGCGACUUAUAUUCUGUAGCAAGGUUAACCGAAUAGGGGAGCCGAAGGGAAACCGAGUCUUAACUGGGCGUUAAGUUGCAGGGUAUAGACCCGAAACCCGGUGAUCUAGCCAUGGGCAGGUUGAAGGUUGGGUAACACUAACUGGAGGACCGAACCGACUAAUGUUGAAAAAUUAGCGGAUGACUUGUGGCUGGGGGUGAAAGGCCAAUCAAACCGGGAGAUAGCUGGUUCUCCCCGAAAGCUAUUUAGGUAGCGCCUCGUGAAUUCAUCUCCGGGGGUAGAGCACUGUUUCGGCAAGGGGGUCAUCCCGACUUACCAACCCGAUGCAAACUGCGAAUACCGGAGAAUGUUAUCACGGGAGACACACGGCGGGUGCUAACGUCCGUCGUGAAGAGGGAAACAACCCAGACCGCCAGCUAAGGUCCCAAAGUCAUGGUUAAGUGGGAAACGAUGUGGGAAGGCCCAGACAGCCAGGAUGUUGGCUUAGAAGCAGCCAUCAUUUAAAGAAAGCGUAAUAGCUCACUGGUCGAGUCGGCCUGCGCGGAAGAUGUAACGGGGCUAAACCAUGCACCGAAGCUGCGGCAGCGACGCUGAUGCGUUGUUGGGUAGGGGAGCGUUCUGUAAGCCUGUGAAGGUGUACUGUGAGGUAUGCUGGAGGUAUCAGAAGUGCGAAUGCUGACAUAAGUAACGAUAAAGCGGGUGAAAAGCCCGCUCGCCGGAAGACCAAGGGUUCCUGUCCAACGUUAAUCGGGGCAGGGUGAGUCGACCCCUAAGGCGAGGCCGAAAGGCGUAGUCGAUGGGAAACAGGUUAAUAUUCCUGUACUUGGUGUUACUGCGAAGGGGGGACGGAGAAGGCUAUGUUGGCCGGGCGACGGUUGUCCCGGUUUAAGCGUGUAGGCUGGUUUUCCAGGCAAAUCCGGAAAAUCAAGGCUGAGGCGUGAUGACGAGGCACUACGGUGCUGAAGCAACAAAUGCCCUGCUUCCAGGAAAAGCCUCUAAGCAUCAGGUAACAUCAAAUCGUACCCCAAACCGACACAGGUGGUCAGGUAGAGAAUACCAAGGCGCUUGAGAGAACUCGGGUGAAGGAACUAGGCAAAAUGGUGCCGUAACUUCGGGAGAAGGCACGCUGAUAUGUAGGUGAAGUCCCUCGCGGAUGGAGCUGAAAUCAGUCGAAGAUACCAGCUGGCUGCAACUGUUUAUUAAAAACACAGCACUGUGCAAACACGAAAGUGGACGUAUACGGUGUGACGCCUGCCCGGUGCCGGAAGGUUAAUUGAUGGGGUCAGCGCAAGCGAAGCUCUUGAUCGAAGCCCCGGUAAACGGCGGCCGUAACUAUAACGGUCCUAAGGUAGCGAAAUUCCUUGUCGGGUAAGUUCCGACCUGCACGAAUGGCGUAAUGAUGGCCAGGCUGUCUCCACCCGAGACUCAGUGAAAUUGAACUCGCUGUGAAGAUGCAGUGUACCCGCGGCAAGACGGAAAGACCCCGUGAACCUUUACUAUAGCUUGACACUGAACAUUGAGCCUUGAUGUGUAGGAUAGGUGGGAGGCUUUGAAGUGUGGACGCCAGUCUGCAUGGAGCCGACCUUGAAAUACCACCCUUUAAUGUUUGAUGUUCUAACGUUGACCCGUAAUCCGGGUUGCGGACAGUGUCUGGUGGGUAGUUUGACUGGGGCGGUCUCCUCCUAAAGAGUAACGGAGGAGCACGAAGGUUGGCUAAUCCUGGUCGGACAUCAGGAGGUUAGUGCAAUGGCAUAAGCCAGCUUGACUGCGAGCGUGACGGCGCGAGCAGGUGCGAAAGCAGGUCAUAGUGAUCCGGUGGUUCUGAAUGGAAGGGCCAUCGCUCAACGGAUAAAAGGUACUCCGGGGAUAACAGGCUGAUACCGCCCAAGAGUUCAUAUCGACGGCGGUGUUUGGCACCUCGAUGUCGGCUCAUCACAUCCUGGGGCUGAAGUAGGUCCCAAGGGUAUGGCUGUUCGCCAUUUAAAGUGGUACGCGAGCUGGGUUUAGAACGUCGUGAGACAGUUCGGUCCCUAUCUGCCGUGGGCGCUGGAGAACUGAGGGGGGCUGCUCCUAGUACGAGAGGACCGGAGUGGACGCAUCACUGGUGUUCGGGUUGUCAUGCCAAUGGCACUGCCCGGUAGCUAAAUGCGGAAGAGAUAAGUGCUGAAAGCAUCUAAGCACGAAACUUGCCCCGAGAUGAGUUCUCCCUGACCCUUUAAGGGUCCUGAAGGAACGUUGAAGACGACGACGUUGAUAGGCCGGGUGUGUAAGCGCAGCGAUGCGUUGAGCUAACCGGUACUAAUGAACCGUGAGGCUUAACC